UACGGAGGAUUCAAGCGUUAUCCGGAUUUAUUGGGUUUAAAGGGUGCGUAGGCGGUUUUUUAAGUUAGAGGUGAAAUCCCGGGGCUCAACCCCGGAACUGCCUCUGAUACUGGGAGACUAGAGAGUAGAUGCUGUGGGCGGAAUGUAUGGUGUAGCGGUGAAAUGCUUAGAGAUCAUACAGAACACCGAUUGCGAAGGCAGCUCACAAAUCUAUAUCUGACGCUGAGGCACGAAAGCGUGGGGAGCAAAC
rnacentral:rRNA from 1 species